AACUGAGUACAACCUUAAUAGUCGACAAGUGAAUGAACAUUUUAAAGCAAAAAUUAGGUCUCUAGGUGAAAGUAUGCUGAAGUUAUAAGGCUUUAAAGGUGGAAGAGUAAAAGGUAGAAUUUUAAGAUUUCCCCAUUGACUUCAAUGUUAAAAUUUUUGCACAAAAAGUUAAAAAAAUCAAAAAGUAUAAAGGGUAGAAAAAAGAAAAAUAGACGCCAUAAUGUCCUGAAGGAGUGGAAUAGUUUAAAGUUUGAACGGUUG